AUCAAAACAAAAUGGUUUAUAAUUUUUUAAAAAUGUAUUAGAAUUUUUACCACCACUAAAUGUAUAUAAACUCGAAGCAGGACAUUUCGGAGUAUCAUUAUGGAAAUAGAAUAUUCAUGUCCUCGGCUAGUUUUCAUACACUCAUAUUUAGAAAGUGUUUCUUGGCACGACCUUCGCCAUAAACUAAUUUCUAGCUCAUUUCACCCUCACACACACACAUGUGCCCGUUCUCAUCCGGAUCAAGGUGUGUGUGUGUGUGUGUGCGACUGUGUGCCACGGCCUUCUGCUAAAUUUAGCACACUUUUAAGCGCCACAGCAAGAAAAACAGAAUUCCAGCGCCGAAGAAACGCAAAUGGUACUUAAAACUCAGCAGACAAAACUUUGAGGGUCUUCCUUCCAUAAUUUACAUACACAAGCAUAUAUAUGUGUGUGUGUGUGCGGUCAUGUGUAUGUGAGUGCCUGUUUUGGUAUUUGUAAGCCACCAUGCUCUUGUACUCUCUCAGCUAAUUGCAUUUUAAUGCGCAUUAUUUAGCUGCCCAUUGCAUAUUUCUCAGGUGCUUGCAACACAGAAAUAUGCAUAAAAUUCCGCUGUCGUUGUUUGUUUAUCUAUUUAGCAUAAAUAAAUUGCAUGUGGGAUAUGCAAAUUCGCCGUUGUUACACACGCUAAAUGGAUGUGGAUGCAUUUUAUUAGGUAAGCUGUGGGCGAGAUUUGCAUACCUAAGAUGGAGUGAAACGGGUGGAUACUGCCAGGUGUGCACAAAUCAUGGCGUUUGUGCGGAGCUAUAAUAAAACUUUUGUAAAUAUAUGAUGGACAGCGCUCUAAUAUGCUUAUAGUGCAUUUUUUAUAGCUCAGUUUUAAAUAUUUAAAGUGAACAGCAUGGACCUUAAUAGAUUACUGAGUAGAAUGGUUGGCUUUAAGCAAACUGCAAGUCACGACUGCUUUCCAAAGGUAGAAUAACUCAAUCAGAAUCACAAAACACCGAAUUGUGCAGUGAAUUGCUAAACGCCAAGUCAAGAAUGAACAACUGUUAGCAGACGUUCGUCUGACUGGGUCAUUGUUUGCACUCACAAUUGGCAAGAAAGUGAGCGGGGAAUUUCGUGGGUUUCGCCUUAUCCAAUCUGUCCAUGUCAUAUAGACCGAAAUGCACAAAACGCUAAUCGUUGGGCCAGAAGGAUGGCUCCCUACCUGAUCCACUCAAUGAAGGGUAUCAUUUUUCCCCCCUUCCUUUGCAUUCGCUCCACUAAGAAACAGCUUUAUUAUGCACUAGCCGACAUCCAAGCCCCUCUCGUCUUCAUUUUUGGCCCACCACAAAAGUGUGCUCGGCAUUUUCUUAACCAUUUCCUUGGCUCGCUGGCAUUCUUUUGGCCCCAGGCUCAGCCUCAGCCACUACUGCCUUUUCAUGAAUAACAAAUCAGGCUAAAAGACAAAAUCUUUUCCACACCCCAGCCCGAGCCCCACAUUCUGCCGCCGGAUUCUAGGAUCUGUAGGAUUCCGGAGGUCGGGGUCCAUAGCCUCAACGGGCAAAAGCCGCAAGUUCUAUGCAUAGAAAACUACGCCGAGCACGAUGACGAGGAUGAAAGCCUUAAAAACAAAAAGCAGCAAGAGAAAAAGGAUGUUUAGCAUGGGGAAGGUGGUUGGACUGGGCAUAGAAAUGGCUGGCAGGAAAGGGCUCGGCCGGUCCACUUUCGUUGAAUUGAAAAGAAAUUGUGCAAAAAACACUUGAGCCGAGCUCUUCUCGGUUUUCGAUUCAGAGUUCUCAACGUCGUCGUCAAGUGUUUGUCAAAGUUUGCCCCAGGUUAGGCCAUGGAAUUGUAGCCCGUUUUUGUUCAUUUCAAAAGUAGCAAAUCAAAUGACGUGUGACAAGUGCGGUCCGCAAGGAUAUUUAUGCGAAAAGCAACUCUGAAUAGGCACUGACAAAUAACUGGCUCAACUGGCAAGGCCACCUUCGCAAAUAUACAUAAAUAAAAGGAUAAAAAGUCAACAACAUCGAUAGAAUGAACAUUCAGUGUGGUGGUGAGCCGAGAAAAUGUAACUUUAAAGUGACAUAAAACAAGGGAGAAUGCUAUAGUUGAGUUUCCCGAUUAUCAGAUACCCGCUACUCAGUAGUGUGAAUGCGAACACGAAAUUUCAGUCGGCGGGACAGGUCGAUACGAAUCUAUAACAAUUCCGUCUCUCAUUCUCAACUUAAAGAUGUUUUGGAAUUAAUCAAUUUAAAUUACCAGUGAAGAAGUAAAUAAGCCUAUACUUUACUGGGAAUUCAUUUGAUCUUAUUUAAGAUAUUUUAUAAUUGGGUCGUUCAUGAAUUUAAUAAAAUGUUGGUUAAGACAUUUACAGAUUUAACUGAACACACAUCUUCUAUGGAAUAAUACAUAAAUAAUAAUUUAAUUAAGACAUUCAUUAGAGUUUAUAGCCAUCCCAAUUUUCACAAAAUCCUUCAGACUGAAACUUGACAUGCAAUUUCACUUAAAUUGCACCCACUUCUCCAAGCAAUUCUCCAGGUGAAAUCCGAUUCCGGGCAGAGGGAGAACAGAAAUCAAUGGUAAAUGGAAACAGGCUAAGCUCAACUCGCACGUAUUUUAUGUGCCGACUGGAGGAGACAGACUUAAGUUGAGUGUGGAAUAAAGCAAUAUUUUGCAUUUUCCACCGCCCAAUCGCACGACCACAAACCGACUUAACUAGAACUGUGCACAAAUCGAAGGCACUGAAACAGAAACGCUAAGCACAUGUGCGUACAUAUAUCUGAGAGCUGUUUGCUUAUUUACCAUUCCUGGCACGCACAAUUGUUGGGUGAACUUUUGGGGUAGGGGGGAUUCGAUUUUAAGAGAACUUAAGUACAUAAUACCUGGGCUCACUUCGAUAAUUACAGAUCGGAUAGCUUCUAGAUAUGUACACACGGCCCGGGGAAGGCGGUUAAUGCAAAUGCAUAAUGCUCGUCUGCUGAUGAAGUGAAUGUUGAGGCGGAAAUUUAAUGCCAGAAAUUGCAAAUUUCCUGCUAUCAAAAACUUGUCGAGCGGUGUGGAAGGAAGCUUUCCGCCUCCACCCAGCACCCAAAUACCCAUGCCACUCCACAUAUACAAUGUACGUGAUGCAAAAAUGGUUACCCAAGUGUUUUUGUUGUCCCCGUUUCGGUUGUUAUGUGUAUUUGCAUAUUUGAUUUGCAGCAGAGCCAGUUUUGCUGCUGCAACCAGAUUUGGCCUCCACUUUUAACUCAUUCUGUGUCUUUGCCACACAUGUCAUACACUUUUGGGAACAGUUGAAAAUGAAUCUCAUUUCGGUCGCUCGAACUAAAAACUUAAACACAUGCAAAUCGGAGACACGCCACCAUCUUAUGAUUUUAGAAAAUUUGAAUAAUUUAAUUACCAACAGUCUUCGUUUGAAAGUAGGCUGUUCUUAAACGAAAUAAGUCGGAAUUUCUCAAAUGGCCAAAGACUGUCGCUGACUGAUUAAUUGAUGCGGAAAAAAGAUGGCCAAGUCAGCGAAAAAGCCAUGAUUGAUAGUUUAAGUUGAGUUUAAUGAGGCCUGAAGCCCACAGAAAACCAAGUUUGUUAUUCGAGGCUUAGCACACGCCACUGCCGCAGAAUAUCCUUAACCACACAAUCUCUUUUAAGACACUUCGCUCCACAAAUUCUGGUUCGUUCGUCACGCACUUUGUUUAUUAAUAUUUAUACACAUUUAAUCGGCACGCAAAACUUAAUUAAACUUUCCGCAUUGCCUUUUUUCCGACCUCCUAAACCAUCAAACCCUCCAAAAAUGAAAGGAUGAGCUUUGCAUUCCUUCCCUGACAAAUUGCCUGCGAGGAAGUCGAAGGAUGUGGAGGGAUGAGUGGGUGGUGAAAGCAUGGGUGGGUGGCCAGUAUGUCCAGAGCCGAAAAGCAAUUUGCAAGCUAAAUGAUGAUGGUUCUCCGCACUUUGUUAUGCAAUUUUUAGCAGCCCAGCUUGCUGCUCUUUUAAAUGCAAAUUCUCCACAGCAACAAUUAAUUCUGUCCCUCGUUUUGGUUAGCAAAAGUGUGUGUGAGUUGUGUGUCCGUAUCACCAAUAUCCGCCGAAAACUAGGAUACAAUUUGUUUGGCCCAAGCCGAAAGUUGUUACAGUUUGAUGGGACAUCAUCAAUUAACCGCGCACACAACUGUACCUCCCAGCCAGGGGGUGGUACUUUAGUGGUGGGGAGGUGGUGUCCAUCAUUUCUGGCAUCCUGCGGUUUUCACCCGAUGGUCAAUUGCAAACGAGGAUACAAAGUUGUUGCUCUGUACGCUUGAAAAGUUUGCCGUAUCCUUUUAGCGUUAACUGUACUUUUUUGUUAGUUAGUUGUCGCUGCUCUCAACUCGCUCUCACCCAGUUGCAAUUCUUGUUGUUGUUGCGCUCUAAUUUGCCGUUAAGUGGCUUUUGGACAUUUGUUGCGAAACUUUUCUGCUUUUCCCCCAUCGUCUUCUGUGGCUAACGUUUUUUUCAUUGUCGAUGAAACCUGCGGUUUUACCAGCAGGCAGUGUUGGUAAACGACAGCAGGUUAAGUCCUGUCGAGGUAGCUUAAUGAGUGCCGCGUGGUCAGGAUGAAAAGUUCGGGUGGCACAUGGCACGAAGUGCUUAAAGUGCUGGCAUCUGAAGGACACCAAAAAAAACCUAGACAAAAGACCUUUGGUAAAUUGGGUUUUCAAUUGUCAAAUUCUAGCGGAAGUGCAAAGAAGUGGGAAUUAGUUUUUGGCCUUUGGUUAACAACUUCUGGUAAAUCAAAUUCAAGCAUUUCAAGAGCCUCACAUUUAAGUAAAAUAUUAUCAUGCUUUAAUUUUAUAUCUAUAAACAAGAAUAAAAAUACACCAUUUCGAAGCUGGUAAAUUUACCAUUCAUAUAUGUAGGUAAUUUUAUCAGCUGUUUAAAUAACAAUGAAUAUAUUUCCACUGAUCAAUCAAACAGUGUAAAUAUUUAUAAGUAAUAAUAAAUAUAUACACAUUCGAUUUCCUAUUUCUCAAUAUUUUUGUGUGAAACAACGAAAUAGACAAACCAAUGUUUGUUUAAGAUUUUUUGAAUGGUUUUUGGGUUUUCCAACUCAUGCGUGAGUCGGCACUUUAACGCCCCCUCCCUCCAUAGAAAGCAAUUCCCUCGCUUUAUCUGCAAUCACAAUCUCGAUUUGAUGACCAUUUCGCUGCAUAAAUAAACCAAUAAUUUAAUUUUAAGCCCACAUUGGCGCUGAAGCACCUGGGUGCGGCGGAAACAAAGCGAUUUUAUCCAUGGGCCAUGAAGCCCAAAUGGCCAUCAUGGAGCACACACAUGUGCUCGAAUCUGUUGUGUAUCUGUGUGUAAGUACACUGAGCCAAAAUAAAACGAAAAAUAUGUAUAAUGGAUACAAUGAAUUUCUAGACACAAUUUGAAUUAGUCAAUGCUAAGAGAAUUUGGUGGCAUAAGGUAUACAUAUACAUAUGAUGCAGAUAAGUGCAUAACGCUAGUAAAGAAUAGUCUGCUGACUUUCUAGCAUUUUUUCUCAGUGUGAUCGUAAUACCACCUACCGACCAGGGAACAUUCGUGUUUGGAGAGCAACGCUGUCUCAUUGUUAUGGACAAUGAUGCAGGAAGACAGCCAGAGAUUUUAUGGCGCACAUUUCAUGUGCAAAAAGUAUCCAAAGGAGACGCCAUCGCCGGGUAAAAGUUGUUUUAAUUACUGGAACAUGGCACAUGAAACUCAGACGGAGGCGGAACGUCUUGCCGUUUCAGCUGCUCCUAAUAACCGACUGACACUCUUCCAUGCAUGAAUGCAUGGCUUUGAGUGUGAGUAUGAACAGCGUAUGUAUGUGUGAGGGAAAGGUCCUGGUCCAGUACAGUCACCGACAAAAGGCUCUCGACGUGACUGUCCACCAUUACGUAUGCAAAAUUUAAUUUCGCAAAUGAAAACGAGGACGAACGGGUAAGAAAGGCGUGGAAAAGUGGCACGUUGAGGCUACCACCACAGUCGCAGUCACAUUUGCAGUCACAGUGACUGGCAAAAGUCAUGCCUGCACUUAAAAUUAAAAUCACCACCCUCUUGUUCGCUCCUCCAUUGUCUGCCGGCAACUUUUCCCCUUCCUUUCACUAUGCUCAUUUUGCCCAGCCAGACACAAUUUAACAAAUUAAAAAAAUGGAAGACCUAAAGGAUUGAGGGCUGGCGUGAAGGAAGGAUGCUGGCAAACAGGAAGGGACAGCGCAGUGAAACGACCAUGACCAAGAGAUUUGCCAGCCGAGGCGGGAAAUAUGCAAAAGGCUUUGGGGAAUUGCCCAUAAAAAGCUCAUCUAAGUUCUGAUCUGAGUGUGAGGAGGAAAAUAGGGGAAUCGCAUGAUGUCGUUUGGUAGUGAAUUAAAGUUUAAAGUUUGAUUAAGCACAAACUUUGUGAAGCUUAGGUUGCCUCUAUGAGUUGUAGAUUAAUAAAAAA
rnacentral:sRNA from 1 species